ensembl:misc_RNA Metazoa_SRP Metazoan signal recognition particle RNA
GCCAGGCAUGGUGGCACGUGCCUGUAGUCCCAGCUACUUGGGAGGCUGAGGUGGGGGGAUUGCUUGAGUCCAAGAGUUUGAGGUUACAAUGAGCAAUGAUUGUGCCCACUUUGCUCCAGCCUGGGCAACAAAGCAAGAUCCUGCCUCUU